GUUUUUGUCCCUCUACCUGGAAUCAUUUACCUUCUUAUACUGGAACUGUUGUGAUAUUUGCACCUUGUUUUUGUAUGAAACUCUUGCCCCAUGCUUGCAUCCUGCCUCUGUAGACUGCUUUGUGACAAACUAUCAGCAGCUGUUCAUAAGUACCGGCUACGUGCCUCUUUUCAGCCAACUCUUGCCAGCCUGCUGUCUCUUCUGUGUGCCCAGCUAAUUGCUAAUUGGCCCAGGCUUCAUCGUUACACUCUUCUGUCUCCUAACAAUGUGGACAUCAUUACAGACAAAGGUUUAUGGUGAGACUGAAGGUUAUUCCAGAAGACUUGGGGCACAAGAAAUCUACUUGAAUUGGUGAAUUUGCAAACACAGGACUCUUAAUUUCAACUCCUACUCCUCCAGUAAAAACAUCUUUUAAGUCUUUCUAAUAUCCCCAUGCCGCAUAAACCUCACCUGCCUGCCAUCUUUCAUCUGCACUCCAUCCAACUUCUCUCUGAUGAGAUCGAACGGCGCCAGGAUCACGCCUACACUCGCAGUCUGACCGCAUGCCGCCUCUUCAUGUUUACAUCCACGUUAAUUAUUGCUUUAGGACGCCUCAAAAGGUUGCAGGUUUUUGGGAGGUGACAGUUUAUCUUCGCCCCAAGCACGCAUAAAAAGAGAGAAUGAGAGAGACAGAAAAGCAGAGGGAGGAUAUAAGGCGAGCUGGGUAGCUUUAAUGAGGAUCUUUUGUCGAACCAGCAACAAAACAAAACGCUUACAGUCCGCUGGGAUAAAAGCUCUAGUAAAGCAAAACUAACAGACAGAGAGAGAGAGGAAGGAAAAAGGGAUGUGGAUGUGAAAUAUGGAUGUACAGAGGCCUCAGCAACGUUUACAGCCAACACUCAUAUUAUCUGCUUAUGGGAGGUGUAUAUAAAACUUCAAAGCCCUGAGCAUGCAGCCUUUUGUUCCACCGUAUGUAUUUUCCUUUUUGUUCAGCUCUAAACGAAACAUUUUAAUUUGGGCUGAAAAUUGAAAAGAUACUAUCGCUGAAAUAUUUA